UCAAUAUUCAUUUUAUCGUUUGUUGCAAAUGGAGCAUUAUGUAUAGGCUGCUUGUCUUCGCCGUGGACGACACUAAAGACCUCUAAGUUUAAGUAGCUCUCUUAGCAGAACGAGAGCCAUAAUGGAUCAGGAAAUUCCAUCAAUGCACCCUGUCUCUCUUUAGUAGGGAGCCGAGGCACCCUUCUAUGACUCAGUCUUGUCACGUUACAGUAUGAGGAACUGCGCAAAAGCAGAUUGAAGCAAA